CAGAAUCCUGACAAUUUCCUAUUUCCAUGCCCUGUUCCCCCAACACUCAAAGCUGAGACCAUCUUCCUCCUGCCUCUCCCCACCAUGGGCUCCACGCUCCUCUGCUGUGUGGUCUUUUGUCUCCUGGGAACAGGCUCCAUGGAUACCGGUGUUACCCAGACCCCAAGAAAUAGGAUCGCAAACACAGGAAAGAGCAUUGUACUGGAAUGUUCUCAGACUAAGGACCAUGAGUCUAUGUACUGGUAUCGACAAGACCCAGGACAGGGGCUCCGGCUGAUCUACUCCUCCUACGAUAUCAAUGGUAUUAACAAAGGAGAUGUCUCUGAUGGGUACAAUGUGUCUCGUAAGGAGAAGGCAAAAUUCUCCCUCUACCUAGAGCCUGCUACCCCCAGCCAGACGGCCAUCUACUUCUGUGCUAGCAAUAUGGCCAGCAACGCCGCGCAACUGUACUUUGGAGCUGGUUCCAAGCUGACUGUGCUGGACGAUCUGAGCCGGGUGCACCCACCCAAGGUGGCUGUGUUCGAACCCUCGGAAGCAGAGAUCGACCGGACCCAGAAGGCCACGCUCGUGUGCCUGGCCACGGGCUUCUACCCCGACCACGUGGAGCUGACCUGGUGGGUGAACAGGAAGCAGGUCACCACUGGGGUCAGCACGGACCCUGAGCCCUACAAGGAGGACCCCACGCGGGAGGACUCCAGAUACUGUCUGAGCAGCCGGCUGAGAGUGACCGCCGCCUUCUGGCACAACCCCCGCAACCACUUCCGCUGCCAAGUCCAGUUCCACGGGCUCACGGACGAGGACAGGGCCAAGCCCAUCACCCAGAACAUCAGCGCCGAGGCCUGGGGCAGAGCAGACUGUGGUGUCACCUCCGCGUCUUAUCAGCAAGGCGUCCUCUCUGCCACCCUCCUCUAUGAGAUCCUGCUGGGGAAGGCCACCCUGUACGCUGUGCUGGUCAGCGCCUUGGUGCUGAUGGCCAUGGUCAAGAGAAAAGAUUCCUGAAGCCAGCUUAGAAGUGGAGCCAGGAGCUUCCAGCCUGUUGCUGCCCUGAUGUGAGUUCUGCUUUUCCCAUUCCUACCCAGCGCUUCUGAAGAGCUGCCCUCAUCUCUGGACUCAGCCCAGCGUCCACUCCCAUAUGUGGGUGCCCCAAACUCUCAGGACCAGGAUCUCCCUAACCCAGGGGAGACCCUAGGGGGACUGAACUUGCUGAACCAAUAAAAAUGGCCUGUUGUGUUUUCA